rnacentral:rRNA from 1 species
UGGGGAAUUUUGGACAAUGGGCGCAAGCCUGAUCCAGCCAUGCCGCGUGCGGGAAGAAGGCCUUCGGGUUGUAAACCGCUUUUGUCAGGGAAGAAAUCUUCUGAGUUAAUACCUCGGGAGGAUGACGGUACCUGAAGAAUAAGCACCGGCUAACUACGUGCCAGCAGCCGCGGUAAUACGUAGGGUGCAAGCGUUAAUCGGAAUUACUGGGCGUAAAGCGUGCGCAAGGCGGUUUUGUAAGACAGAGGUGAAAUCCCCGGGCUCAACCUGGGAACUGCCUUUGUGACUGCAAGGCUUGAGUGCGGCAGAGGGGGAUGGAAUUCCGCGUGUAGCAGUGAAAUUGCGUAGAUAUGCGGAGGAAACACCGAUGGCGAAGGCAAAUCCCCCUGGGCCUGCACUGACGCUCAUGCACGAAAGCGUGGGGAGCAAAACAGGAUUAGAUACCCUGGUAGUCACGCCCUAAAACGAUGUCAAC